rnacentral:rRNA from 1 species
GGAAUCGCUAGUAAUCGCGAAUCAGAAUGUCGCGGUGAAUACGUUCCCGGGUCUUGUACACACCGCCCGUCACACCAUGGGAGUCGGGAAUGCCCGAAGUCAGUGACCCAACCAUAUGGAGGGAGCUGCCGAAGGCAGGUCUGAUAACUGGGGUGAAGUCGUAACAAGGUAUC